rfam:Flavobacterium beibuense F44-8 contig11, whole genome shotgun sequence.
AAAUUAGAGGAAAGAUUUGUACUGAUUGCAACCUCAAUAAAAAAUGCUAAAGCAGGACCA